CCUUUUCUUGUCAAAUCUGGAGCUGCUCCUAACGUUCAAGGCCAAGCUCUCAGUAUUAUCUGUAAGUUUCAUGUUAACUCGCCUCUGCUUCUCUACAUUUUGUUAGGGAGUAGGCUUUGUUUAUUGUGGGUGCAGGAUCCAAUAACCAGAAGUUCGUGUCUUACACUAUCAAAAAUGUGCCAUUAAGCCCCAUAAGGAAUUGUAUAAGUUGUGUGAAGGUGGCUGAUUCUGCAACUGUGUCCCAGGCGCCAUGGGAAGGAAAUGAAUUCUGAACAGUUGCUGAGACCAAACCAUUUACCAGAUAAUCAAGUCUUUAUCAGUGUCCCAGGAGAUUAUUCAAGGAAACCCCCAAUUGGAGAGAUUCUGCUAGACUAUGUGCCAGGGUUUAAGCCUGCCCGUUGCAUUGAACUGUUUUCUAGGGAGAUGAUAGCAGGCUGGACUUCUUGGGGUAACGAACCCCUACACUUUCAAGAUCCAAAGUACUUUCUAAAGUACAAUUAAUUGAUUUCUACAUGAAAUGAAGGGCCUCAUGAUCAGAGAAGGUCAUCCUUUCCAUCCGAACCUCUGUUGACA